rnacentral:ncRNA from 1 species
AUCGCAAGAAGUUUGGCGAUGUAGGGGAUCAAAGGCAGGUUCAGGAUCAAAAGCACAAGAUUGCCGAUGAACAUGGACAUAAUGACGGCCCAAAAAAUCUGUGGAUCAUCAAUCAUCAGGCGCGGACC